rnacentral:rRNA from 1 species
GGAGUCGAGUAUGAAUGGGUCUACGGAAACAAGCUGUCUCUUUUUGGUUAUAUUGAAGUUUCUUUAAGGGUGCAAAGUCCCUUGAUUAGAAAAAAGACGAGAAGACCCUUAGAGUUUUUAUUCAAGAUAAGAAUUUAUUUAAGUUUUUGCUGGGGCGGCAAAGAGACAAAGCAAUUAAACUCUCUUUUUAUUGUUUUUAGAAGACGAAAAUGUUAAGAAUCAUUAAACUACCUUAGGGAUAACAGCAUAAUUAAAUUUUAGUUUGUGACCUCGAUGUUGGACUAGGAAGGCUUUUGACCAGCAGUCAA